rnacentral:sRNA from 1 species
UGAUAUCAAACUGUUUGCCGUAGCAAUGCA